rnacentral:rRNA from 1 species
UACGGAGGGUGCGAGCGUUGUCCGGAAUCACUGGGCGUAAAGGGCGCGUAGGCGGCCUGAUAAGUAGGGGGUGAAAUCCUGCGGCUUAACCGCAGGGCUGCCUUCUAAACUGUCGGGCUCGAGCACAGUAGAGGCAGGUGGAAUUCCCGGUGUAGCGGUGGAAUGCGCAGAUAUCAGGAGGAACACCGGUGGCGAAGGCGGGUCUCUGGGCCGAUACUGACGCUGAGGAGCGAAAGCGUGGGGAGCGAACAGG